CUGGCUCAGGAUGAACGCUGGCGGCGUGCUUAACACAUGCAAGUCGAACGGUGAAGCAGAGCUUGCUCUGUGGAUCAGUGGCGAACGGGUGAGUAACACGUGAGCAAUCUGCCCCUGACUCUGGGAUAAGCGCUGGAAACGGCGUCUAAUACCGGAUACGAGCUGCGAAGGCAUCUUCAGCAGCUGGAAAGAAUUUCGGUCAGGGAUGAGCUCGCGGCCUAUCAGCUUGUUGGUGAGGUAACGGCUCCCCAAGGCAACGACGGGUAGCCGACCUGAGAGGGGGACCGGCCACACUGG
rnacentral:rRNA from 1 species